UACGUAGGGUGCGAGCGUUAAUCGGAAUUACUGGGCGUAAAGCGUGCGCAGGCGGUGAUGUAAGACAGGUGUGAAAUCCCCGGGCUUAACCUGGGAACUGCAUUUGUGACUGCAUCGCUGGAGUACGGCAGAGGGGGAUGGAAUUCCGCGUGUAGCAGUGAAAUGCGUAGAUAUCGAGAGGAACACCUGCGGCGAAGGCGGGUUGCUGGGCUGACACUGACGCUGAUGUGCGAAAGCUAGGGGAGCGAACGGG
rnacentral:rRNA from 1 species